CCACAUCAUAGUGAACAGUUGUGCGAGUUCAUGUGGCACCGUCGCAUAUGCUAAACUCUUAAAGGACAUCAAGACAUUAUAUCCAGCCUUUGAAUACUAGUGAUUUAUUCCGUUAAUAUUGCAUCACAAUUCUUUGCUACAAUGAAUAAAUAUCUGUUACUCGUUUUAAUUGGCAUGAUUGCUAUGAUCAACGUAACUCCUGCUUCUAGUGCAGAAUGCGCUCCAUGGCUUGGACAUUGUCAAGAUACGGACCAAUGUUGUCGUGAGUUAAUAUGCUUGACGUACGCAGCUAAAUGCGUUCCCGGUAAAAUUAUUGGUGAUAAUAGGCCUAUCGGAGAUGGACCAUUUCCCCCAGAAAAUUAAAACAAAGUUCAGUUUGGAUACAUAUAUAUAUGACGAAUUAAGCAUAUUAUAUUUGGGAAUAUGAAUAAUACAAUAAGUAUAAUAUACAAAUAUAUACAUAUUAAUUUGCUGUACUUACGUUCUUAAAUGAACGAUUAAACGAUUUCUUGCAUCAAAUAA